rnacentral:rRNA from 1 species
CGCGUAGGCGGUCAUGAAAGUCUGAUGUGAAAGAUUACAGCUCAACUGUGGGAACGCAUUGGAAACUGUAUGACUAGAGUAUAAGAGGGGAGACUGGAAUUCCUAGUGUAGGGGUGAAAUCUGUAGAUAUUAGGAAGAACACCGGUGGCGAAGGCGAGUCUCUGGCUAUAUACUGACGCUGAGGCGCGAAAGCGUGGGGAGCGAACA